GUUCUGCCACCGUCGGGCUGCUGUGCUGCACCGAGGAGCUCAAAGGGAUGUUUCGCCACCGUCGUGCUUUGUCGCCAAGUUGUUGCGUUGCCGCUCAUCUCUUCUUCACCGUCGCUGCUCAUCACCAGCGUCGUAUCCUCUGUCACCAGUUCGAAAGUGGGUAUGGUUUGAUAGUGAUGAUGAACUGCAACGGCUAAUUAAGAUAGAGAAGCGAGCUUGAUGCAGCUGCCACCAAGCUGCAGAAGGUUUAUAAGAGUUACCGUACCAGAAGAACUUGGCAGAUUGUGC